UUCCAGAACCGGAAGCAAGUCCUGCCAUAGAGACGUUGAUUGCAAUAUCAUCACRAAGCAUCAAAGUCACAAUUAAGUUCACGCAAAGAGACGAGUUAAAUGGGCCACUGGCGGGAUACAGAAUUUUGUAUCGACCCGAAGGAGGAGAAGAGAUGCAGACGGAUGUAGGUAUCGUUACCAUGGUAACGUUGACGAACCUUAAAAAGUACACAGUCUACAG